CACGUAGGAGGCAAACGUUAUCCGGAUUUACUGGGCGUAAAGCGCGUGUAGGUGGUUCUGUAAGUAGGGCGUGAAAGCUCCUGGCUCAACUGGGAGAGGCCGUUCUAAACUGCAGAGCUAGAGGAUGGUAGAGGGAGGUGGAAUUCCAGGUGUAGCGGUGGAAUGCGCAGAUAUCUGGAGGAACACCAGUGGCGAAGGCGGCCUCCUGGACCAUUCCUGACACUCAGACGCGAAAGCUAGGGUAGCAAACGGGAUUAGAUACCCGCGUAGU
rnacentral:rRNA from 1 species